GGCUGCGAACAGACUAGGGAGCUGGGGAGCUCGAGCCAGAAAAACCCCAGGCUGCAGCCUAGCGGUAGGCCACAGGUACUGGGGGUUGCAAGGGGUGACCCAGGGGUAGGAAGAGCACCAGGUCCAAACCCCUUUGCUUGUGAGGAGAAGGUGGAUACUGCAGUCUGUCCCAGGAGCUGGGGCUAGACCAUGACUGGGCAGUAGCCAUUCUGAGGCAAAGCGGGGAAACCAGGGUGGGGGUUCCCCGGGGAGGGGGAAACCCAGUUAAAGGGGCACCAGGGUCCUGGGAGGGACACAGGGCUGAUAAGAGAACAGGCAGGCCACUGGCCAGCAGAGGGCGCUCCGGGCUGAAAAAGAGCUAAUUCUGCAGAAAAACCAGCGGGAGGCACCGCGGCAACACAAGUUUUUCAAUCCAGGGAUGAAUGUUUGACAAGGACACUCAGAGCAUCUUUCCAAUUCUCCACCAUUUGAGGUUGCAAUUUCACAGCUGGGUGUUGUGGGGAGCUGUCCUCUGCUCUCAGCACCAGCUGGACCCUGACCGAGCUGGACCUGACGGAGGAAAAGCUGGAACAUUCUGGAGUGUAGCUGUUGUGUGAGGGACUGAAACAUCCAGAAUGCAAACUGCAGAAAUUGUGGUUGGACUAUCACAGUGUAAACAACGAAACCCGGCCAGAGCUGAAUGCUGUGAAAAACAUAAAACCUGAUCUGGUCAUAGAGAUUUGAUGCAGCUGGUGGGUGCCAACCCUGCACCAACAUGGCUGCAGCCUGGCUGCCCUGCCACUAGCCAG